rnacentral:rRNA from 1 species
CUGACACAGGGAGGUAGUGACAAUAAAUAACAAUGCCGGGCCUUUUAAGGUCUGGCAAUUGGAAUGAGAACAAUUUAAAUCCCUUAUCGAGGAUCAAUUGGAGGGCAAGUCUGGUGCCAGCAGCCGCGGUAAUUCCAGCUCCAAUAGCGUAUAUUAAAGUUGUUGCAGUUAAAAAGCUCGUAGUUGGAUUUCUGGUGGGGACGUUUGGCCGGCCGUAACGGUUUGCGCUGAAAUGUUCUUCGCCAUCCUUGACGAAUACUGGUUCGCCAUUAAGUUGUGUGGGCUUGGAGUCGUCAUCGUUUACUGUGAAAAAAUUGAGUGUUCAAAGCAGGCUUAUGCCGUUGAAUACAUUAGCAUGGAAUAAUAAGAUAGGACCCUGGUACUAUUUUGUUGGUUUGCGUACCUAGGUAAUGAUUAAUAGGGACAGUUGGGGGUAUUUGUAUUCCGUUGUCAGAGGUGAAAUUCUUGGAUUUACGGAAGACAAACUACUGCGAAAGCAUUUACCAAGGAUGUUUUCAUU